CAGAAAACAGGCAGACAGCAGUUGGCGGAGGUCAGGAUGAAGUAUCAUUUGGAGGGCUGACCUGGAGGCGGGGCAGAGAGAGCCGUUUCUCAAGACGUUUGUCUGGAGUUCAGGGGCUCCCAGGUUUCACUCUGGCCUGAACCAAAAGAUAGAGGCUGGAGAAUUCAGGAGAACCUUGCUUCCUGGCGGUCCUUGCAGGGGGUGGGAGCACAGGCCAGCCCAGGAGAGAUGUUCACCUACCUGAGACGACGCAACCGAGGUUGAGCAGCCGCCUGAGGUCGCAGAUGCCGAGCGGUGGCACCCGGAUCAGAGCGCAGGCACGCUGCUCCGAUGCUGGCAGGUCAGCCAUCAAGCAGUUCAACUUUCUCUUCAGUCUGAGCAUUUCCAGAGCCCAACAGCCCUGUGGACUUCUGUUCCCAUGACCCUUCAUCUGUGGACUGAGUGAACACAGAGUCUGGAGGACGGAGCAAAGUAUUUCUCUGUUUCUGUGCAGUUUCCUCUUGGAUGGAAAUUACUGCCCUCAUGAGGAGGAUGAGGCCGAUAAAGGUUAAGUAACUUGCCGAGCGCCACCGAAACACUAAGUGAAAUGGCUGGGAUUCCAGCUCAGGGGCUGGCCCCGUGGCCGAGUGGUUAAGUUCGCGCGCUCCGCUGCAGGCGGCCCAGUGUUUCGUUGGUUCGAAUCCUGGGCGCAGACAUGGCACUGCUCAUCAAACCACGCUGAGGCAGCGUCCCACAUGCCACAACUAGAAGGACCCACAACGAAGAAUAUACAACUAUGUACUGGGGGGCUUUGGGGAG
rnacentral:lncRNA from 1 species